CCCUAAAAGAUAUGCACGUACUAGGUAAAGAGAUAUAUAUAUAUAUAUCAUUAAAACUGACUUUUUAAGACGUGCAUACUUAGUUCCUAUUAGGUUCUGAACUCUGAAAGUCUCUGAGUUCGUGACAGGUCAGUAACUCUAAUUUCAUUGACAGUCUAGAGUUUCACUUUGGUUCGAUAGACUUGUUUCAAACAGACUUUCAUGCCUAACAUACUUACAUGAAUCCUAGAGCAAUAUAUUUCUAUUUUCUCCGUCUUCAUGUUGUUUCUGUAAAACUCUUGUUAUGGAAUCUUGUAGUCUUGAUAUAUUUUGGAACUCGGGGCAAUGUUCCACUUCUGGAACCGCAGGCCAAGUUCCUAACUAGAACUUGAUGUCACUCUUGUUCAUUCCUUGUUGGAACUCACAGACCAGGUUCCAAACUGGAACUUGGUGUCACUUGCACUCCUGUUAGGGAGUUGUCCAUCGUUUACCUGUUAGGGAACACGCUCCGACUCUUGGGAAAAGCCUGCCAAAAGUUCAUUUGGAUCUCGUUGGAGAAUACCUUCAGGUUCCUUCAUGGUUUUGGUUCUCGCGUGAGAACCUACUUUGUGUUCAUUCAUUCUCUCUUGUUCCUCUUUAAGUCUUCUAUGUUCCAACCCUUUGACUUCACCUUAGUUAGUUCCCGUCUUCACAUAAACACGUAAAGAGAACAUUAGAUUGAAAUUUGUUUGUUAUAAAUAAACAAACUUCAAGUGAAAGAACUAAUUAAACUUAAAGCUACAUAUGUACUCCUACACAUACAUGACUCAUGUAUACAUAGGAUAAUUACCUCAUGAAGUUAACUUAUGCAAACACUUAUUUACAUAGUUACCUUCAUGUGGUCCUUAGCCAUCACUAUUCUUAUCAACCAUAACUCAUCACGGUUCUUGAUCCUUAUGUUGCUUAUUAUAUAUUGCUCAAACUCCUUAUAUAUAUAUAUAUAUAUAUAUAUAUACACUUGCCAUUGCUCGAGUUCCUUGUAUCUUGUUCCAAGCAUAACUUGUUCUUUUUAUGCAUAGCUUAACAAACACGCUAGAUAGAUAAUCAUCAUUAGUUUACAAUCAUCAAAACCUAAUUACUCAACAAUUUUUCCCUUUUUAAUGAUGUCAAACUAAUGAUGGUUAUCACACAUUAAAUGAUAAAUCAUCGUUCAUAUAUUUCCCCUUAGGUCUACAAGGAAAUAACAUUAGAAUAAGGUAGAAACAUACAAAGGAAAUUCACAUAGUAAGGAACUAGCAAUACACAUCAUUGUCAAUAUGUAUACUAUUAAAGACCAUAAUGCAUAUAUAAGAAUUUUACUCUUAAAUACUGCAUACCAUAAGCAUCAUACAUAUUCUUCCCCCUUUUGUCAUUAUCAAAAAGGGUAUUGUUCCACACAUUUGUUUUAUGUAAAUUACACACACGUAAAAUCAUAUGUAAUACCCCGUAUUUUUAGCCAUUUACUAAUUAUUAACUAUGGAUUUUUCCGAAUUACUUUAAAUAUUAAAUUUUAAUAUUAUACAUAAAUAUUUAUUUAAGUCAACAUGUGAUUUACGAAGACAAUUUUAUAAUUAUGCUUUAUAAAGGAUUUAAUUAUACGAGUCAGGUUAAAUUUGUUGUACCCAAAAAUCGAAUUUUUAACGUUUAGUACUAUGCCCGAAAUCCCGAGUCAAAUACUUGUUUCCGAGUCAAAUUAACCAACUACUACCAAUCUAAUUCUUCCUCCAAAAUAAAAAUCAAAGUCUCCUUAUUUUACACUACUACCCAAUUACCACCCAUCUACUUAUUCUUCCAUAGUCAAAGUCAAGAAAAGCUUACUCCCUACAUUGAUGAUGGUGGUUGAAAUAGUACCAUUUGGAGACUAUAAAUAGCCAUGGAAGUAAGACAUUCUUACUCCAUCUUCCUUCCUCCAAGCUAACUUCUCUCCCUAUUCUCCUUCCUUCCCCAUAUUUCUUUCAUUUGGCCGUGAGCCUUGCCACGAGCACCAUCGUACUACAGGCUUGCCGCCCAACCACCACGACACUGCCACCCUGCCACCACCUGCUGCGGAGGCUACCGACCACCAAAGGUGGUCCCUGCUUGUUGCUGCCGCCUAGGAAUUUUGAGUUCGUAAUUAGGAACGUCGUGCUUGUUUGCAAGGAUCGAGUUACGUGAUGGUGACCGGACAACGUGAAUUAAAUGUUGCAUUGGGGACGAUGGGCGGUGAUCACCUAGUUCAAUUUAUGUGGAAACCUAGUAUAAGCGUUAUAAUUAAUUCGGAAAUGUUUUGAACUACUAUUAUUAUUAAUAAUAAAUGAUGUAGUUUUUUCCGCUGCA